AUUGAACGCUGGCGGCAGGCCUAACACAUGCAAGUCGAGCGGCAGCGGGAAAGUAGCUUGCUACUUUUGCCGGCGAGCGGCGGACGGGUGAGUAAUGCCUGGGAAAUUGCCCAGUCGAGGGGGAUAACAGUUGGAAACGACUGCUAAUACCGCAUACGCCCUACGGGGGAAAGCAGGGGACCUUCGGGCCUUGCGCGAGUGGAUAUGCCCAGGUGGGAUUAGCUAGUUGGUGAGGUAAUGGCUCACAAAGGCGACGAUCCCUAGCUGGUCAGAGAGGAUGAUCAGCCACACUGGAACUGAGACACGGUCCAGACUCCUACGGGAGGCAGCAGUGGGGAAUAUUGCAGAAUGGGGGAAACCCUGAUGCAGCCAUGCCGCGUGUGUGAAGAAGGCCUUCGGGUUGUAAAGCACUUUCAGCGAGGAGGAAAGGUUGAUGCCUAAUACGUAUCAACUGUGACGUUACGCGCAGAAGAAGCACCGGCUAACUCCGUGCCAGCCGCCGCCGUAA
rnacentral:rRNA from 1 species